AACGAACGCUGGCGGCACGCCUAACACAUGCAAAGUCGAGCGCAGUCCUUCGGGACCGAGCGGCGGACGGGUUAGUAACGCGUGGGAACAUACCCUUCUCUACGGAAUAGCCUCGGGAAACUGAGAGUAAUACCGUAUAAGCCCUUCGGGGGAAAGAUUUAUCGGUGAAGGAUUGGCCCGCGUAAGAUUAGAUAGUUGGUGGGGUAAUGGCCUACCAAGUCUACGAUCUUUAGCUGGUUUGAGAGGAUGAUCAGCAACACUGGGACUGAGACACGGCCCAGACUCCUACGGGAGGCAGCAGUGGGGAAUCUUAGACAAUGGGGGAAACCCUGAUCUAGCGAUGCCGCGUGUGUGACGAAGGCNUUAGGGUCGUAAAGCACUUUCGCCAAGGAUGAUAAUGACAGUACUUGGUAAAGAAACCCCGGCUAACUCCGUGCCAGCAGCCGCGGUAAUACGGAGGGGGUUAGCGUUGUUCGGAAUUACUGGGCGUAAAGCGCACGUAGGCGGACUUUUAAGUUAGAGGUGAAAUCCCAGGGCUCAACCCUGGAACUGCCUUUAAUACUGGAAGUCUUGAGUUCGAGAGAGGUAAGUGGAAUUCCAAGUGUAGAGGUGAAAUUCGUAGAUA
rnacentral:rRNA from 1 species